rnacentral:rRNA from 1 species
UCCUACGGACGCAGCAGUGAGGAAUAUUGGUCAAUGGGCGGGAGCCUGAACCAGCCAAGUCGCGUGAGGGAAGACGGUCCUAUGGAUUGUAAACCUCUUUUGUCAGGGAGCAAAGGGCGCCACGUGUGGCGCUUUGCGAGUACCUGAAGAAAAAGCAUCGGCUAACUCCGUGCCAGCAGCCGCGGUAAUACGGAGGAUACGAGCGUUAUCCGGAUUUAUUGGGUUUAAAGGGUGCGCAGGCGGAAUGUCAAGUCAGCGGUAAAAUUUCGGGGCUCAACCCCGUCGUGCCGUUGAAACUGGCGUUU